rfam:Myotis davidii contig35437, whole genome shotgun sequence.
GGCAGUUGUCAGGUGACGCACCCCAGAAUCGGGCUCCUUCCUCUCUGGUGCCGGGUGUGUCACCCAAGAACCACA